UUUUUUUUUUGAGAUGGCAUUUCGCUCAGUUCCCUAGGCUGGAGUCCAGUGGGGUGAUCUUGGCUCAUUGCAACCUCCGCCUCCCGGGUUCAAGCAGUUCUCCUGCCUCAGUCUCCCAGGUAGCUGGGAUUACAGGCACCCGCCAUCAUGCCCAGCUAAUGAAGUUACUUAAUUUUAAAGGAGUAUUGCAACAAGGGGAAAGCACCAAUUAUAAGAUGUUGGAGAAUUUUAAAGGUUAGAGAGAAAAGGACUUUCUUUCAUAAGGAAGAGAAAACAAAGUCAGAAAAAAGGUGGGAAGGGGAGGGAUAGAACAUGGUGAAAGUAGAUGCUAGAUCAGGGAAUAUUUUACGCAGAAGUCAGCCUGGUUUGUUUGUUGGUUUGUUGGUUUGUUGGUUUGAGACGAGGUCUUUGCCCUGUUGCCUAGGCUGGAGUGCAGUGGUACAGUCUCAGCUCACUGCAGCCUCCACCUCCCAGGUUCAGGCAAUUCUCUCACCUCAGCCUCCCGAGUAUCUGGGAUUACAUGUGCAAAAGCACACCUGGCUAAUUUUUUAUAUUUUAAAUUUAUUUUUACGUAUUUUUUUUGAGACAGAGUCUCGCUCUGUCACCAGGCUGGAGUGCAGUGGCGUGAUCUCGGCUCACUGCAACAUAGCCUCCCGGGUUCAAGCCAUUCUCCUGCCUCAGCCUCCCAGGUAGCUGGGACUACAGGCGCAGGUCACCACACCCAGCUAAUUUUUGUAUUUUUAGUAGAGACAGCUUUCACCAUGUUGGCCAGGAUGGUCUUGAUCUCUUGACCUUGUGAUCUGCCCACCACGGCCUCCCAAAGUGCUGGGAUUACAGGCGUGAGCCACUGCGCCUGGCUGAUUUUUUUUUUUUUUUUUUUAGUAGAGACGUUUCACCAUGUUGGCCAGGCUGGUCUGGAACUCCUCACUUUAAGUGAUCCUUUGGGAUCAUUUGGAGUCCCAAAUUGCUGAGAUUGCAGGCAUGAGCCACCAUGCCUGGCAACAAUCUUUCUUGGGCUAUAUUGACUAUUAAAUUUUAUCCUAGCAAUUUUUUAUAUAUUAAUGCACAAUACAACAAUAAUUUAUGAGAAGUAAUAAUAUUUGCCCCUGUUUAUGAAAAUUUUCUGGGCCAGAUGCAGUGGCUCAUGCCUGUAAUCCCAGCACUUUGGGAGGCUGAGGUGGGUGGAUCACAAGGUCAGGAGUUCAAGACCAGCCUGGCCAACAUUGUGAAACCCUUUCUCUACUAAAAAUAUAAAAAUUAGCUGGGCAUGGUGGCGGGUGCCUCUAGUCCCAGCUACUUGGGAGGCUGAGGCAGGAGAAUCGCUUGAACCUGAGAGGCAGAGGUUGCAGUGAGCCGAGAUCACACCAUUGCACUCCAGCCUGGCCAACAAGAGUAAAACUCCAUCUCAAAAAAAAAAAAGAAAAAAUAUUUUGUGAAAUAUUUAGUACACAGUAGAACUUUGUUGUUGUUUUUUUUUUUUUCUUUGUCUUUUUUUGGGUUUUUUUUUUUUUUUAAUUGAGACAGAGUCUUGCACUGUCGCCUGGGCUGCAGUGCAGUGGCAUGAUCUUGGCUCACCACAACCUCCGCCUCCCGGGUUCAAUCAAUUCUCUUGCUUCAGCCUCCCAAGUAGCUGGGAUUACAGGUGCCUGCCACCACGCCUAGCUAAUUUUUUGUAUUUUUAGUAGAGAGGGAUUCCUCCAUGUUGGUCAGGCUGGUCUCAAACUUCUGACCUCAGGUGAUCUGCCUGCCUCGGCCUCCCAAAGUGCUGGGAUUACAGGCAUCAGCCACUGUGCCCGGCAACUCUUUUCUUACCUGGGCUUUGCUAAUAAUAGAGAUUGUGACCUAUCUCUGGGCCCAGCACCUAGAUAUUAUGACUGUCCUACCCUGCCUGGUCCAUGCCCACAGAAAAGAGUGACUUAUCACUAGGCUUAACACACAAGUGAUUCGAUUCUUCUGCAUGAUCCCAGCCCACAUGGCUUAUUGUGACAUCUCUAGACCCAUCACCUAGAUGAUGUAACUCUCCUUUUCUUUCUGGGAACUGUCCAUAAUGAGGAUUGUGACACAUCACUUGGCCCAGCACUUAUGUGAUAUGACUCUCUUCUUUUGCCUGGGCUUAUCAAAUUGGGUGAUUAUGUCAUAUAGCUGUACUCAGCUCCUAGGUUAUGUGACUCUCCUGUUUCUCCUGAGUCCAACCCACAGAGGUCAUUGCAACAUAUCUCUGAGCCCCUAAUUUAGGUAAUUUGAUUCCUGCCUGGGCCCUCCCUUCAGUGAUUUUUGUGACAUAUUUUUUGACUCAGCACCUAGGUAAUGUGACUCUUCUCCACUGCUUGGACUCUGUCACAGAAGGUAUUGUGAUGUAUCACUGGGCCUGACACCUAGGUGAAGGUACUGUCUUCUCCUGCCUGGGCCCUGCAUAAAUUGUAUAUUUUGACAUGUCACUGGGUUCAACACAUGGGUGAUUCAACUCUCUCACAUGGACCUUGAGCAUGGGGUUAUUAGGACAUUUAUUUUUGUUCAUCGUCUCAGUGAUAUGACUCCUUUCCUCCCUGAACCCUGUCAAAAAGAAAGAUUGUGACAUAUCACUUAAACCAGAACUUAGGUGAUGAGACUCUUCUGUCUAGCAACCACUUAUUUUGGGUAUUGUGACAUUUCACUGGGCCAAACACCUAAAAAAUGGGAGGCUCCUGCCUCAGCCCUGUCCACAUAUAUCUGGACAUAUAUCUGCAUACAUUACAUAAAACAUGUGAUACCUUUUCUGCCUGUAUCCUGCCCACAGGAAAGAUUGUGACACUGCAGGGCCUGGCCGCCAGCCGUUGUGUCUCACCUGAAUGUACAUAACUUUCAGGAGAAAGUUGUAACAUGUGACUGGUUGAAAACCCAGAUGAUGUGACUCUCCUGCCUUUUCACAGCCCUCAGGGAAAAAAUUUACAUAUCAGUGGCCCAGCAUCCAGGUGAUGUGACUCUCCUGGGUGCUUUCUGCCAACAAGUUGAUUGGUAACAUAUAUCUCAUCGCAGCUCACGGGUUUGAUGAUGACUCUAAUACUUCGUACCAGUCAAUAGAAGAGAUAGUGUCUCUCACAGCUAGGCUUAGAAAAAGGAGUAAAAUCCCGGGUCUCCUCUCUGCAUGAAGGUUAUAGCGAAUCACCACUCUCUCAUAUAUUGUAUAAAGCACUCAGAUGAUACAGAGCAUGUCGUCAUAGGACCCAGCAAACAGGUUAGAUCAUGUUUCAUGUAAGCGCUCCCUGACAAUUUUUAGAAUUGUCAUCGUCACACAUGGUAAAAGCCCACUGAUGAGGUCAUAAUUCUCAUGCACAGAUGCAGUCCACAGUUAAAAUUGUAACUAUCAUAUGUAAACGUGGCCACAGUUGAGAUGGUGACUCAUUUCUAAACCCAGCUCAUAGGUGAGUGAGGACUCUCCUCUCUGGACCCAGCCAAUUGAAGAGAUGUUGACCCAUACGUAGACUUAGGACCACAUAAGAUCAUGGGUCCAAAGCAGCGCAAAGUUCUCAGAGUAGGUUGCAACUCAUACAGUCCUCGAGAGAGUGCCCUUACAGGGCCAAGCACACAGGUUCUGACAACAAAGGAGAUUGUGACACAUUGCUGGGCCUAACACUAAGUUGAUGUUAGUUAUUUGCUUUGGCUGUGCCCUUGGAAGGCAUUGAGACAUACUGCUAUGCCCAGCACCAAGAUGAUGUAACGUGACUCUUCUGCUUCAGGCCUGCCAAAAGAAAAGAUUGUGACAGAUCACUGGACCCAGCACCUAGGUGAUGUGACUCUCCUCAUUUGCCUGAGACCUGCAUAUUUUAGACAUUGUGAUAUACAACUGGAACAAACACCUAGGGGUUGGAAGGCUCCUGCCUGAGUCCCUCCCACAGGAGGCCUUGUGAUGUUUUUUUGUUUGUUUUUUGUUUUCUUUGAGAUGGAGUUUCGUUAUUGUUGCCCAGACUGGCAUGCGGUGGCGUGACCUUGGCUCACCGCAACCUCCGCCUCCUGGGUUCAAGCGGUUCUCCUGCCUCAACCUCCCGAGUAGCUGGGAUUACAGGCAUCUGCCACCAUGCCCAGCUAAUUUUCUAUUUUUAAUAGAGACGGGGUUUCUCCAUGUUGGUCAGGCUGGUCUCAAACUCCUGAAAUCAGGUGAUCCGCCUGCCUCGGCCUCCCAAAAUGCUGGGAUUACAGUUGUGAGCCACUGCACCCAGCUUUGUGAUGUAUUUCUGCAUCCAUCAUGCAAGAGAUAAAACUCUGUAUUUUUGCCUGCAUUCUGCCCACAGGGAAGAUUUUGACAUAUCGUUGGGCCCAGCAACCAGUCGUUUUGUCUGUCAUCUGGGCCCAGCACCCAAGGGAUCUCACUCUUCUACCUGUGCCCUGCUUUCAGGAGGGAUUGUAACAUCCCUGGUCAAGCCCCCAGUGAUGUGAUUCUCCUGUUUGAUGCCUGCCCUCAGGGGGGAUUGUGACAUAGCCCUGGCCCAACACACAGUUGAUGUAACUCUUGAAUUUGCUCUUUACAUACAGGUAGGAUUGUGACAUAUAUCUGGCCAAGCGUACAGAUGUAAUAAUGACUGUCAUACCUUGAAGAAGCCAAUAGGAGAGAGAAUGUUGCUCUCAGGCUUAGGAAAAUGAGGAAGUCUUUCUGUACAAAAGUCAUAAAGAAUUACUACUCUCUCACAUAUAUAAAGCCCUAGUGUGUUACAGAGAAUGUCAUAACAGGGCCCAGCACACAAGUGAGAUUGUGUUUGUCCUAUGCACACCACACCAACCUUUACAGUUGUCACCCUGACCCAUUGACAGAGUCUGCUAGUGAGGUUCUGAAUUACAUGUGAACACAGUCCACAGUUGGAAUUGUGACUGUCAUAUGUGAACAUCUGGCUACAGUUGGGAUGGUGACUCAUUUCUAAAUCCAGAUCAUAGGAAGGUGAAGACUCUCCUAUCUGGACUCAGACAGUGAGAGAGAUGUUGACUCAUAUCUGGGCUAAGAACCACAGGAAAGAUUCUGGAGCUCCUUGUGCAAAGGUCACAGAGGAUUAUCAAUCUUGCAUAUUGUAUAAAGUCCUCAGGUGACACAGAGUGUCUCUCGAAUGCACACCCAGGCAACAGUAAAGAUUGUCGUUCUCCCACAUAAACACAUCCCACUGUUGAAGUUCUGAAUUUCACAGAGGCUGUCAAAAGUUGGAUAAUUGCCUCUUAUGUGUGGAUCUGGUCCACAGGUGGGUUAGUGACUUCCAGACCAAGGUUCAGUGCACAUGUAAGGCUGUGACUACACUAAGAAGAUACAGUCUGCAGAAGAAAUUGUGGCUCUUUUGCACACAUUCUGUCAAUCAUUGCGAUUGUGACUCAUGUACUUAGACCCAACAUACAGGAGGUGUUGACUUUCAUACCUUUAGAACCUGGACAUGUUUGGAAUUUCUAAUCUAAUCCCUGGACUUUCCUGCAGGUGUGAUUGUGUGCAUUGCAAAGCACCUUAGUGAUUUGACUCUCCUGCCUUGGCCAAGCACACAAAUGAGAUUGUGACAUAUGGCUUGACUCUGAACCUCCAAGAUGUGACUCUUUUUUCCAGCCUUGGAGCUGCCCACAUGUUGCAUUGUGACAUAUUCCUAAGCCCUGCACUCAGGUUAUGUGACUCUCCUUUUUUGCUUAGGCCCUGAAUAUUUUUCAUGUUAAGACAUAUUACUAGGUCCAACACCUAUAAAAUGGGAGACUACCACCUGGGCUCUUUCUACAGAGGGCCUUGUGACAUACCUCUGCAUCAAUAACCUAGGAGAUGUGAUGCUCCAUUUUUGCCUGUACGUGCCCCACAGAAAAAAUUGUGGCUGGCCCAGGUACCAGGUGAUGUGUUUCUGCUGCCUGGGCCUGGACCACAGAGAGCAUUGUUACUGAUUGCUGGGCUCAGCACCCAGGUGAUGUGACUCUGCUGCCUGUGUGCUGCUUUCAGGAGAAGGUUGUAACUUAUUCCUGGCUGAGUAUGCAGUCACACUCCUGACUGAUCUCUGCCCUCAGAAAAGGUUGUGUCAAGCUGGGCCUGGUGGCUCAUGCCAGUAAUCCCCAGCACUUAGGGAGACCGAGGUGGGUGGAUCGCCUGAGGAGUUUGAGACCAGAUGGCCAACGUGGUGAAACCCCGUCUCUACUAAAAAUACAAAAAUUAAUCGGGUGUGGUGGCGGGCGCCUGUAAUCUCAGCUAUUCGGGAGCCUGAGGCAGGAGAAUUGCUUGAACCCGGGAGGUGGAGGUUGCAGUGAGCCAAGAUCAUGCCACUGCACUCCAGCCUGGGCAGCAGAGCAAGAAUCCAUCUUGGGAAAAAAAAAAAAAUUACAAAAAUUAGCUGGGCGUGGUGGUAUGCACCUGUAGUCCCAGCUACUUGAGAGGCUGAGGCACAGCAGUCACUUGAACCUAGGAGGCGGAGGUUGCAGUGAGCCAAGACUGUGCCAUUGCACUCCAGCCUGGGCAACAAGAGCAAAACUCCAUCUCAAAAAAAAAAAAAAAAAAAAAGGUUGUGUCAUAUUCCUGGCUAAAAACCCAGAUGAUGUGACUCUCCUCUCUCCCUAUUCACAGGCAGGAUUGUAAAAUAUAUCUUUUUUUUUUUGAGACAGUUUCAUUUUGUCACCCAGGCUGGAGUGCAGUGGCAUGAUCUUGGCUCACUGCAACCUCCGCUUCCUGGGUUCAAGCAAUUCUCUUGCCUCAGCCUCCUAAGUAGCUAGCCACCACACCUGGCUAAUUUUUGUAUUUCUGGUAGAGAUAGGGUUUCCCAAUGUUGGUGAGGCUGAUCUCAAACUCUUGACCUCAGGUGAUCCACCUGCCUCAGCCUCCCAAAGUGCUGGGAUUACAGGUGUGAGCGACUGCGCCUGGCCUGUAAAAUAGAUCUUGACCUAGAUCACAGAUGCAAUGAUUACUCUCAUACCUCACAGUAUUUAAUAGGAGAGAUGCUCUCUCUUGCUCUCACUCUUUUUUUUGAGACAGUUUCGUUCUUGUUACCCAGGCUGCAGUGCAAUGGCGUGAUCUCUGCCCACCACAACCUCUGCCUCCCAGGUUCAAGUGAUUCUCCUGCCUCAGCCUCCCACGUAGCUGAGAUUACAGGCAUGUGCCACCACGCCCAGCUAAUUUUGUAUUUUUAGUAGAGAUGGGGUUUCUCUAUGUUGGUUAGGCUGGUCUCGAACUCCCAACCUCAGGUGAUCCGCCCACCUCGGCCUUCCAAAGUGCUGGGAUUACAGGCAUGAACCACUGUGCCCAGCCCAAGAUGCUGUCUCUUAACAGCUAGGCCUAGAGUCAUGAAUAUGAUUCUGGGUCUCCUUGUACAAAGGUCAUGAAGAAUUGCCACUUUCUUGCAUACUAUAUAAAUCUCUUGUGGUACAGAGAGUGUCAUUACAGGGUUCAGCAUACAGAUGAGAUUGUUUCUCAUAUACACUCCCCACCAACUGUUAGAAUUGUCACCCUCACACAUGGACAGAGCCCACUGGUGAGGCCCUGAAUCACACACACACACAGUCUACAGUUAAAAUUGUGACUGUCAUAUGUGAAUAUCUGGCUAGAGUUGAAAUAAUGACUUAUUUCUAAAUCCAGUUCAUAGGCAGGUGAGAAUUCUACCUGUCUAAGCCUAGAUAGGAUAGUCAACAUGUCCCUAAUUGGCUGGGGGACAUGUUGACUCUCCUACCUGGGCUUAGGGCCAAACAGUUCAUGGAAGGGAUGAAGGCUCUCAGCUCUCAUGCACAGAUCCAGUUGGUGAGAUUGUCACUAGCAUACUUAGACCCAGCAUACUCUGAUACCUAGAACUGGGACAUGUGCAGGAUUUUUAAUUACUGGACCUUCCUGCAGGUGUGAUUGUGACAUAUGUCUUUGUUACACACCUGAGUGGUUUGAUGCUCCUGCCUUGUUUCAACCCAAAGUGAAGAUUGUGAUGUAUCACUGGACCCAGCAUUUCAGUGAUGUGACUCUUCUUUUUGGACACUACAAAUUUUGGGUAUUGUCAAAUAUUGCUGGAUCCUGUACCCAUGUUAUGUGACUCUCCAACCUAUGUCCUUCAUGUUGUGCCAUAUUGCAGCACAAUGUGUCACAUUAGACAUCAUUACAUAUUGCUGGGCUCAACACCCAAGUGAUGUAACAUUUUCCUGGGCCUUGACUACAGGGGGCUUUGUGACAUAACUGAAUGCCCAUAACCAUGGUGAUGUUACUCUUCUCCUGCCUGGUCUCUGCUCACAGGGAAAUUAUGACAUAUCAUUGGCCUAGCAUCUUGGUGAUAUGACUCUCCUCUUUUUCUCAGGCCCCACAUAUUUGGGUAUUGUGACAUACCCAAAUGUGACACUGGGCUCAACACCUAAGGGAUGGGAGUUCUCUACCUGGCCCCUUCCUGAAGGGGGCAUUGUGACAUACUUCUGCACAGGUAUGUCACAGUUAUUACCUAGGAGAUGUGACUCUCCUCUUUUGCCUGCACCCUGCUUACAGGGAAAAUUGUGGCACAUUUCUGUGGCCAGCAACCAGGUGAUGUGUUUCUCCUGCUUAGGUCUUUAUUACAGAAAAGAUGGUUGACAUAUCACUAGGCCCAGCAUCUAGGCGAUGUGACUGUCUUCUUCUGCCUGGUCCCUGCUUACAGGAACAUUGUAGCAUAUUGCUAUGCCCAGCACUUUUCUCUUCUUUUAGGUUUUGCCUACAGGAGACUUUGUGACAUUGCUGGGCCCUGCACUGACAUUAUUUGACUCUUCUGUCUCUGCCUACUUGGGCCAUUGUGACAUAUUGCUGGGUCCAACAUCCAGGUGAUGUAACUUUUAUGCCUGGGUCCUGGCACCAGAGGACAUUGUCUUUGCACCACUCACACAGGUGUUGUGAUUUUCUUCCAUUACCUGGUCUCUGCUCACAGGAAGAAUUGUGACCUUGGCCAGGCUCGGUGGCUCACACCUGUAAUCAUAGCACUUUGGGAGGCCGAGGCGAGUGGAUACCUGAGAUCAGGAGUUCGAGACCAGCCUGGCCAACAUGGUGAAACCCCGUCUUACUUAAAACACAAAAAUUAGCUGGGUGUGGUGGCAGGCGCCUGUAGUUCCAGCCACCCACGAGGCUGAGGCAGGAGAAUCGCUUGAACCGGGUAGGCGGAGAUUGCAGUGAACCGAGAUUGCGCCACUGCACUCCAGCCUGGGUGACAGGGAGACUCCAUCUCAAAGAAAAAAAAAGUGACCUUUUGCAGCACAUAGCUGAUUUGACUGUGCUUUGUGGAGUACACCAAGCAGGUUGUCAAACUGGUGGUCCCUUUACUGAAAUUUUAUUUCCACGAUGGUGUUGGAGGGGCAGCAGCAGAAUCCAUGCCUUUUCUUCUGGAGUGUGUGAGAGUCCGUGGUCCUGAGUAUCUCACACAGAUGUGGCAAUUUAUGUGAUGUUCUGAUUAAGACCAUUGGUACAGAAACAGAUUCAGACGUCCUCAGAAAUAAUGCAUUGUUUAGCAAAGUGCAUUGAAGUUAUGGGAGACGGAUGCCUUAAUAAUGAACACUUUGAAGAACACCUUUGCCACAUGGCCUCAGGACCUUCUGAGGGCUGUGUCAUGGGGCAUGGUCACUCAUAUUUGACUCAAUAAAUUUCUUCAAAUAUUUUAAAGAGUUUGACCCUUAGUCGACACAGUUGAUGUGUGGAGCACUCUUGCUGUGCCAGCCAGUGUUUCAAAGCCAUUUAGAUAUUUUUGCUCAUUAAAUCUUCAUCAGCAAAAACUCUGUAGGUAAGUUUAAUGAUUCCUCAUGUCACAGACAAGGUGACUGAAAGAAGAAAAAAUUCAGGAACUUGCCCAAAGUCAGCCAGAUAGGAAGUGGCUGAGCUAAACUGUGCUCUAACCUACUCCUUGCUUCCCUUUUACAGACAAUGCCAUUGUGCAUUGAUUAAACAACUAUUCAUUGAGCACCUGCCAUGGGCUGAGGCCUGUGAUUGCCACUGGGAAUAUAGUGUAAACAAGACAUAGCUCCCCAGAACAAAAGUAUAAGGAAGUAAACAACAAACACCAAGAUUAUAUCAAAGAUGUGAAAUGCCAGAACAUGCCGCUGCUAUAAAGAAUGUCCACAGGGUUAUUGGGGGUAGGUUCUAAUUAAAAGGAGGUGAGUAAAGCAAAGCUUUCCAGAGACUGCCAGAGCUGAGCCAGGUCUGGAGGCUCUUAUCAAUGUCAGUACUUAGUUUGUCUCAGUUUCUUUGUUUGCAGCCCCUAAAAUCUAGAGUUUGUCUCAGUUUCUUUGUAUGCAGCCCCUAAAAUCUUUAGAAUGUCUGAAAAGAGAAGCAUCUUUUGUAUGUUAAUGAGAUGACUUCUGGCUGGAGGCUUCUGGACAGCCUCAGGACCAGGGUUGAUUGCCAGAGAAACCAAUUGUGUAAUAGAGGAUUAAAACUCUCAACUGGCUGGGCAUGGUGGCUCAUCCCUGUAAUCCCAGCACUUUGGGAGGCAGAUCACCUAAGGUCAGGAGUUCAAGACCAGACCAGCCAAAAUGGUGAAACCCCGUCCCUACUAAAAAUACACAAAUUAGCUGGGUGUGGAUGUGAGCACCUGUAAUCCCAGCUACUCAGGAGGCUGAAGCAAGAGAAUCGCUGGAACCUGGGAGGCGGAGGCUGCAGUAAAGUGAGAUCAAGCAACUGCACUCCAGCCUGGGUGACAGAGCAAGAUUCCAUCUCAAAAAACAAAAACAAACAAAACUCUCAGCUUAACUUCUUACCUCCUUGGAUGGUAAAGAAGCCAUCCGGGCUUUGUAAAAGUAAAAAGAGUACCUUAUUUGAUUCAACUAAAUAAAUUGUUAAAUAAAGGGGAAUAUCAAUGAAAAGCUCUUCCACCCCAGCAUCACUAGUUAAAGUACCAAUUAGGGGAAGUUUUUUUGGUAUCCUGAAAUUGCUUUUGGCCUUUCCAUGCAUAUCAUCCUUAAGAAAGGGCACACUCUUAAACCAAUCUGUGACCUCAUACCAUUCUAAAAAAAAAAAGUUUAUACCAAAAGUGCACAAUUUAGCUGUUCAUUAAGCCAACAAUGUUUUAUAAGCAUAUGCAAGCAAAGAUUAUUCUGUCAUGUGCUGGGCUUUAUCAUUUGUAACCCUUAGGGCAAAUCUUAUAGUAUUGUUGGAGGAAUAAUCAUAAAACCACUUGAUUUUUUUUUUGAGACGGAAUCUCACUCUGUCAGCCAGCGUAGAGUACAGUGGUGCAAUCUCGGCUCACUGCAACCUCUGCUUCCUGGGCUAAAGCCAUUCUCCUCCCUCAGCUUCCUGAGUAGCUGGGAUUACAGUCAUGCACAAUGGUACCUGGCCAACUUUUGGUAUUUUUAGUAGAGACAGGGUUUCAUCAUGUUGUCCAGGCUGGUUUUGAACUCCUGACUUCAAGUGAUCCACCCACCUUGGCCUCCCAAAGUGCUAGGAUUAUAGACAUGAGCCACUGAGCCUGGCCAAAAACCCCUUGAUUAAAAAAAUGUUCCGGACGCGGUGGCCCACACCUGUAAUCCCAGCACUUUGGGAUGCCGAGGCGGGUGGAUCACAAGGUCGGGAGUUCAAGACCAGCCUGGCCAAGAUGGUGAAACUCCGUCUCUACUAAAAAUACAAAAAUUAGCCAGGCAUGGUGGCAGGCGUCUGUAAUACCAGCUACUCGGGAGGCUGAGGCAGAGAACUGCUUGAACCCGGGAGGGGGAGCUUGCAGUGAGCCAAGAUCGCGCCACUGCACUCCAACCUGAGCGACAGAGUGAGACUACAUCUCAAAAAAAAAAGUUAACAAAAUGCUAACAAUAUUUAAGACAUUGCUGAUACUAUUUUACCAAUAAUUUUAAAGUCGCCUUAUUAAAGAUUAUAUGUAAGUCACAAACUUUUUUUUUUUUUUUUUUUUUGAGAUGGAGUCUCACAGUCUCGCCCAGGCUGGAGUGCAGUGGCACCAUCUCGGCUCACUGCAAGCUCCGCCUCCUGGGUUCACGCCGUUCUCCUGCUUCAGCCUCCCGAGUAGCUGGGACUACAGGCGCCCACCACCUCGCCCGGCUAAUUUUUUGUAUUUUUAGUAGAGACGGGGUUUCGUCGUGUUAGGAUGGUCUUGAUCUUCUGACCUCGUGAUCCACCCGCCUUGCCUCCCAAAGUGCUGGGAUUACAGGCCUGAACCACUGUGCCCAGCCUCUAAUUUUUUAUUUCUAAUUUAAAGUUGGAUGUCCUGGCCGGGCGCGGUGGCUCACUUUGCGAGGCCGAGGUGGGCAGAUCACGAGGUCCGGAGAUGAAGACCAUCCUGGUUAACAUGGAGAAACACUGUCUCUACUAAAAAUACAAAAAAAAUCAGCUGGGGGUGGUGGCACGCACCCAUAAUCCCAGCUACUGGGGAGGCAGAAGUAGGAGAAUAGCUUGAACCCGGGAGGUGGAGGUUGCAGUGAGCCAAGGUCGCAUUGCGCUGCUGCACUCCAGCCUGGGUGACAGAGUGAGACUCUGUCUCAAAAAUAAAUAAAUAAAAAGAAAUAAAGUUG